rnacentral:lncRNA from 1 species
CAUCGUAGCGGCAGGGAAAAAUUCUAGAAUACAACGGGUAUAUUAAUGACGUGGCAUAAUAAAUUAAUCAAAAAAUUCUAUUUAGAAAUAUAUGUCCCAUCAUGAUUGUAAAAAAAUAUUUUUAUUAUACUUUUGUUAAAAAAGAAGAAAGAUGAUUGGCUUGUUAUUGAUGACGUGGUGCAAGUGUGGUUGUGUAGAAUU